AUGGCGUCGCCCUCCGGAAACCCUAAUCCCAACCCCAACCCCAACGUCCCCUUCGAGCUCAGCAGGCUCUUCAAGCCUCCCCCAAACCCUAACCACCCCACAACCGUGCCGACCCCCACUGGCAUCUUCCCGGGCGCCCCGCCCGGCGCGCCGAUGGUCACCGGGCCGCCGGGCCCCUACUCCUACCCGCCCGCCACCCCGCCCUUCCACCGCAACCAGUACCUCAACUACCCCNNCGAUCCCAACGCCGUCCACCUCCCCGUCGCCGCCUUCGCGAACCCUAACCCCGCCGCAAACCCUAUCCCUAACCACAGCCCCGGCCCCAAUCCGGGAGCUCGGCUCAUGCAGCUGCUGGGCAACACCGCGCCCACCCACCUCGAGUCCGUGGUGUCCAUGCCGCCUACGUCAUCGGAGUUCUCUGGCGGCCCGGUGGCGCCGCUGCCAGCGAUGCCGUCCGCGCCGCCGGCGAGGAUGACAAGCACAAGCAGCAAGAUGCCCCGGGGCAGGCUGCUGGGACCGGGGGACAGGGCCGUGCACGACGUGGACUCGCGGCUGCCAGGGGAGGCGCAGCCACCACAGCUGGAAGUGACGCCCAUCACCAAGUACACUUCGGACCCGGGGUUGGUGCUGGGCCGGCAGAUCGCUGUAAACCGAACGUACAUCGUGUACGGCCUCAAGCUUGGCAACAUCCGCGUGCUCAACAUCAACACCGCACUCCGCUCGCUCCUUCGUGGGCACACACAGAGGGUGACGGACAUGGCUUUCUUUGCAGAAGAUGUCCAUCGUUUAGCAAGUGCAAGCGUAGAUGGGCGUAUAUAUGUAUGGAAGAUUGACGAGGGACCCGAUGAGGAAAAUAAACCACAAAUCACAGGAAAGAUUGAAAUGGCCAUCCAGAUAGUAGGAGAUGCUGGAACUUACCAUCCAAGAAUAUGCUGGCACUCCCAUAAGCAAGAAAUUCUGUUUGUUGGAAUAGGGAACUGUGUCUUAAAAAUAGACACAACAAAAGUGGGAAGAGGAAGAGACUUCAGUAAAGAAGAGCCUCUUAAAUGUUCACUUGAUAAGCUCAUUGAUGGUGUGCACUUGGUUGGUAAACAUGACGGGGAUGUCACAGAUCUGUCCUUAUCUCAAUGGAUGACUACCCGUCUGGCUUCAGCAUCAAAAGAUGGCACGGUAAAAAUCUGGGAUGAUCGCAGGACAGUGCCUUUAUCUGUGAUGAAACCGCAUGAUGGUAAAGCUGUUUAUUCGGUUUCUUUCCUUACAGCACCAGAGCAACCAAAUCAUAUAAAUCUCGUUACAGCGGGGCCUCUCAACCGAGAAGUAAAAAUCUGGGCUUCCUCUGAUAAGGAAGGUUGGUUGUUGCCAAGUGAAUCUGAGACUUGGAGAUGCACUCAAACUCUGGAACUUGUGAGUUCUCUGGAAAAUAGGUUUGAGGAAGCAUUUUUCAACCAAGUAGCAGUGUUGCCACAAGCUAGCCUUAUUUUGCUUGCGAAUGCCAAAAAGAACGCUAUAUAUGCUAUUCAUGUUGAGUAUGGUCCAGAUCCUGCUUCUACUCGUCUGGACUAUAUAGCAGAUUUCACAGUUGCAAUGCCUAUUUUAAGUCUGACGGGAACACAUGAAAGCCAGCCUGAUGGUGAACAUGUAGUACAAGUCUAUUGUGUCCAGACAAUGGCUAUCCAGCAGUAUGGAUUGGAGUUAUCACUCUGUUUGCCUCCUACAGCUGAUAACGCUGGGCUUGGUAGGGAUCUGGCUAUUUCCCAUGUAUAUGAGAGACCUCUAGAAGUGGCAUCAGUGGAGUCAUCAACAGAAACUAAACCACUGAGUGAUCAUCAGGGAACAGAAGUUGAUACUGCUACUCAUGUCUCAUCCCCAACUCCUUCAUCAAACAUGGAUAAUGCUGGAUCUUAUGCAGAAGCUGUCUUGAGAAGAGAUGCUUCAAGAGGUCCAUCUCUUGGUGAUCAUGAUGGGGACAAGUCAUCUGUUGAUUAUUCAAAGAAAAGGAUGGAUUCUGAUGGUACAAGUGGGCAAGGAGCAUUUGAUAGGAAGGAUUGCUUUGGGAAUGAAGAGCCAAGAGGUGGCCAGGUUGAUGGUGUGCUCCCAUCUGCUGAAUCGACUGCUAAUGGCAGCCCACAGAAUGCAGAAAUGGAGUCAAAACUUGUGGUUGAGAAAAAAGCAGAUCAAAAUAUUGGAUUUGAGGAUGUUAAGGAGACCCAAAUUGUUCAAGAGAAAAUGGAGAGACUUAACAUGUCUUCAGAGCAAACUGUAGAGACAAUUAGUGAACGUUCGGUAACAACUGACAAGUAUAGUGUGGAAGAUUCACAGAGAUCAGACCCCACACUUCUGAAACAACAUUCUGGUGCUCGGGAUGAAAAUCUUCCAAGAAGAACAGCUGAAGCUACUGAAAACAUCAAUGGCUCUUCGUCAAGGAACUUGCAGUUACCCUCACCUACCAAAGAGGAGAAAGUUCUGCAUCCUCAGGUGUCUGGGCAGAUGUCUCCUCUUACAAGCACUUUCAACUCUACUGAUUCAUCACAUGAACACCCAAGCAAUACAAACCCUGCCAUUGAUUCUGUCCCGCAAGUAUCUGCCAUUCAAGGAAAAUUGCAACAGCUUAUGGCAAUGCAUACUGACAUGCAAAAGCAGCUGAACACAAUUGUGUCUGCUCCUAUUGCAAAGGAGGGCAAAAGGAUCGAGACAUCACUUGGGCGUAAUAUUGAGAAGUCCAUAAAGGCUAACGUUGAUGCCAUGUGGGCUCGUAUCCAGGAGGAAAAUGCAAGGCAUGAAAAGGUUGAAAGAGAGCGAAUGCAGCAGAUUUCUACUCUAAUCACAACUUCUGUAAACAAGGACAUUCCUGCUAUACUGGAGAAAUCAUUAAAGAGAGAAAUAUCGUUGUUGGGACCCACCAUUGCACGAACAACAACACCUAUCAUUGAGAAGUCCUUGUCUUCUGCUGUUUCGGAUUCGCUUCAGAAAGUUCUCGGGGAAAAGGUUGCGAAUCAGCUGGAUAAGUCCAUAAGUACGAAACUUGAAGCUACUGUUGCUAAGCAGAUCCAAACACAGUUCCAUACAUCUGCCAAGCAGGCACUUCAGGAUGCUUUACGGUCAAGCUUUGAGUCAUCAAUUAUCCCAGCAUUUGAACAAUCUUGUAAGACAAUGUUUGAGCAAGUGGAUGGUGCAUUCCAGAAGGGCAUGUCUGAGCAUGGUACUGCUAUCCAGCAGCAGGUUGCAGCAGCACAUAGUCCAUUGGCACAGACUUUAAGGGAAACAAUCAAUUCAGCAUCAUCAAUUACCCAGGGUCUUACAUCAGAGUUACUUGAUGGCCAGCGCAAGCUUUUGGCACUAGUUGCAUCAGGGAACCCAAUAUCACAUAAUACUGCUUUGCAGCCCAUCAACGGACCAAUACCCAAUCUCCCCGAGGCUGAUGUUCCACUGGACCCGAUGAAGGAGUUAACCAGACUAUUAUCUGAGCAAAAAAUCGAUGAGGCGUUUACGAUGGCUCUUCAAAGAAGUGACGUCUCCAUGGUAUCUUGGUUGUGCUCUCAGGUUGAUUUGCAAGGUCUGUGUAGACUGAACCCCGUUCCUCUGAACCAAGGGGUCCUUCUGGCCCUUUUCCAGCAACUGGCAUGCGACAUAGCCAACGACACACCCCUGAAGCUUCAAUGGAUGACAGCGGUCGCCAUGGCAAUCCAACCAACCCAUCAGAUGAUUGCAGCGCAUGUGAGGCCAAUAUUUGAGCAAGUCUAUGGCGUCUUGGCCCGCCAACAGUCGGUACCAGGAACCAGCCCACUGGAAGCCAACAACAUCCGCCUAAUGAUGCAUGUAAUCAACUCGGUGAUGAUGACCCACAAGUGA
rnacentral:rRNA from 1 species